GCAAGAGAGCGAUCUGGAGCAAAACUCUAAAAAACAAUCUCAGUUCAGAUUGCAGGCUGCAACUCGCCUGCAUGAAGUCGGAAUUGCUAGUAAUCGUAGGUCAGCAUACUACGGUGAAUACGUUCCCGGGCCUUGUACACACCGCCCGUCAAACCAUGAGAGUUGGCAACACCCGAAGUCGGUAGUCUAACCGCAAGGAGGACGCCGCCGAAGGUGGGGUUGAUGAUUAGGGUUAAGUCGUAACAAGGUAUC
rnacentral:rRNA from 1 species